GACGAACGCUGGCGGCGUGCUUAACACAUGCAAGUCGAACGGAAAGGCCCUGCUUUUGUGGGGUUCUCGUGUGGCGAACGGGGGUGUAACACGUGAGUAACCCGCCCUUGACUUUGGGAUAACUUCAGGAAACUGGGGCUAUUACCGGAUAGGAGCUCCUGCUGCAUGGGGUGGGAUGGAAAGUUUCGGCGGUUGGGGCUGGACUCGCGGCUUAUCAGCUUCUUGGGGGGGUAGUGGCUUACCAAGGGUUUGACGGGUAGCCGGCCUGGGAGGGUGACCGGCCACAUUGGGACUGAGAUACGGCCCAGACUCCUACGGGAGGCAGCAGUGGGGAAUAUUGCACAAUGGGCGGAAGCGUGAUGCAGCAACGCCGCGUGCGGGAUGACGGCCUUCGGGUUGUAAACCGCUGUCGCCUGUGACGAAGCGUGAGUGACGGUAAUGGGUAAAGAAGCACCGGCUAACUACGUG
rnacentral:rRNA from 1 species